rnacentral:misc_RNA from 1 species
AACUUUCUGCAACGCAUCUCUUGGCUCUCGCAUCGGUUAAGAACGCAGCGAAAUGCGAUAAGUAAUUUGAAUUGCAGAAUUCAGUGAAUCAUCGAAUCUUUGAACGCAUCUUGCGCUCCUUGGUAUUCCGAGGAGCAUGCCUGUUUGAGUGUCAUUUACCUUAUCAACCGCUUCAGAUUUCUCUGAAUGUGGCUUGGACGUGGGGGAACUCUUUGCCGGCUUUUUUAGAGAAAGGUCGGCUCCCCUGAAAUGCAUUAGUGGCAUCUGAGCUGCUACUGUAGGUGUGAUAAAUAUCUAUGCCUUUGGUAUGCAUGCAUGAACAGAUCGCGCUGCUCAAAACCCGACUUUGACAAACUUGACCUCAAAUCAGGUAGGACUACCCGCUGAACUUAAGCAUAUCAAUAAGCGGAGGCU